rnacentral:rRNA from 1 species
GACGAACGCUGGCGGCGUGCUUAACACAUGCAAGUCGAACGGAAAGGCCCUGCUUGUGUGGGGUGCUCGAGUGGCGAACGGGGGAGUAACACGUGAGUAACCUGACCUUGAUUUUGGGAUAACUUCAGGAAACGGGGGCUAAUACCGGAUAGGAGACCCUGUUGCAGGGAGGGGGUUGGAAAGUUUCGGCGGGUGGGGAUGGACUCGCGGCUGAUCAGCUUGUUGGUGGGGGAGUGGCUUACCAAGGCUGUGACGGGUAGCCGGCCUUAGAGGGUGACCGGCCACAUUGGUCCUACGAUACGGCCCAGACUCCUACGGGAGGCAGCGGUGGGAAAUAUUGCACAGUGGGCGGAAGCCUGAUGCAGCAACGCCGCGUGCGGGAUGACGGCCUUCGGGUUGUAAACCGCUUUCGCCUGUGACGAAGCGUGAGUGACGGUAAUGGGUAAAGAAGCACCGGCUAACUACGUG